rnacentral:rRNA from 1 species
UACGGGGGGGGCAAGCGUUGUUCGGAUUUACUGGGCGUAAAGAGCGCGCAGGCGGUCGUACAAGUCGCGUGUGAAAGCCCCCGGCUCAACUGGGGAGGGUCACGCGAUACUGUUCGACUCGAAGGCAGGAGAGGGAAGUGGAAUUCCCGGUGUAGUGGUGAAAUGCGUAGAUAUCGGGAGGAACACCAGUGGCGAAGGCGACUUCCUGGCCUGUUCUUGACGCUGAGGCGCGAAAGCUAGGGUAGCAAACGGG